rnacentral:rRNA from 1 species
GACGAACGCUGGCGGCGUGCCUAACACAUGCAAGUCGAGCGGAACUAUUAGCAAUAAUAGUUUAGCGGCGGACGGGUGAGUAACGCGUGGGCAACCUACCUCAUACAGGGGGAUAACACAGGGAAACUUGUGCUAAUACCGCAUAAUAUCAUGGGAGGACAUCAUUCUAUGAUCAAAGGAGCAAUCCGGUGUGAGAUGGGCCCGCGUCCAAUUAGCUAGUUGGUGGGGUAACGGCCCACCAAGGCGACGAUUGGUAGCCGAACUGAGAGGUUGAUCGGCCACAUUGGGACUGAGACACGGCCCAGACUCCUACGGGAGGCAGCAGUGGGGAAUAUUGCGCAAUGGGGGAAACCCUGACGCAGCAACGCCGCGUGAAGGAUGAAGGUUUUCGGAUUGUAAACUUCUUUGAUGAGGGACGAAUAAUGACGGUACCUCAAAAACAAGCCACGGCUAACUACGUGCCAGCCGCCGCAGUAACAC